rnacentral:lncRNA from 1 species
UCUUGAGCCGGGGGUCUAUCAGAAACAGCCUUGCUACUUCUCCGGAGGUAGUGGUAUGGACUGCGUACAUCUUACCCUCCCCAGACCUCACUAUGUAGAAAUAAACUGGGUUUGUUGUUGUUGUUGUCUUGGUGGGUUCACACUUUAAUUAAUAUCCAUAUUUACUAUAGUUUCUUAUACAAUUACAAGGUCUACGCAAAAACUACUAGGUUCGUCCGAACCCCUACAUUACACUAUAGCUCCUCCUCUUGCUGAUACUCUUCAAAAAUGUCGAUGGUUGCUUGUUGGAUCCUCCAACAAUAGUGUACUCUUUAAGGGUCCGACAGGGUGCAGCAACACUUUUAAAGAGUCCAAGCAACUUAGUUCACAACGAUAGUUGUACUGCAAAGACUUUUUUCUUUUAGUAAUGAGUUGUAAUUACUGCAUGGAGCGAAUUAUGAUAUAUGCAGAUAAUCUAUCAUAGAGUUUGUCUAUGAAAAACUUUUUGAAAAUUUUUGGAUUACAUGGUUGUUACAUUUUCCAAAAUAACUAAUGAAUGAAGAACGGGAAAGGUUCAGUUUUUUAUGGGAGAAGUUCUUCCUGCUCUUAAAAAUUAAUUAAUCUUCAAGAAUUACAGUUAUCCAAACAUGUUAGCCCAAACGUUUUCUUCCAAAACCUUUUCAAAAAACUUUUUCCAAAAAUUGUCUAAACUAAUGUCACAAGGAGCACAUUAAAUGCUUCCCAAAUUGACUAAUUCUUGAGACACUCUUCUUAUGUUGUGAGGAGUCAGAAGUUCUCUGCGAUCUCUUCCAUACAAGUUGUUGGUAUAAUAUACCAUAAAUAACAAUAUUUACAGUUGAAAAAUAAAGAGAGAUGUGUCGAUUACCCCUGAACUUAUCACGUUUUAUUCAUGGUACACUUGUUGGUAUAAUAUACCACAAAUAACAAUAUUUACAGUUGAAAAAUAAAGAGAUAUGCGUCGAUUACCCCUGAACUUGUCACGUUUUAUUCAUGGUACACUUGAACUUUGACUAGUCUUAAGUACCCCCGAACUUAUUCUUUUACUACAUCGAGCACCCUUUUUUUUCUGAUGUGGCAAAAUGUUUGAUUUCACACUCCAUCGCGCGCGUGAUGGAGUUAUUUUUUGGCCAAAUCAUCAUUUUCAAUGGUAAAAAAAGAAAAAAAAACUCCAUUUUCCUUUAAUUUUUUCAAAAAAUUCAAUUAUCCCUCUUCCUCCAUCACGUCCAAUUUAAAAAAAAAAAUUCAUUUUAUUGCUUCUACUUUUUCUACUUAUUUCUAACUCCAUGAAUUAUAAUAGGAGACUUGUUUGUGCAUGUGGGUCUCCUCCAAUUGUGAGAAUUUCAUGGUCUGAUGACAAUUUCGAACGUAGAUUCCUCGGUUGUAUGGAUUAAGGUGUAGGUAGUUAUAUUGGUUGACGAUUUUUAGUCUCUAAUGAUUUGAUUUUUGAUUUAACCGAUAAGAAAAUACUCAUAAAAUAGAAAAAAUAGUAACUAACAUGAAAAGAAAUCGAAUCUUAGUUGCAACCAAAAUCCUACUUAUAUAUUUAUAUAUAUAUGGGGUGUAAAAUAAUAAUUUAGCAUAAACUUAUUGGGUUAUCGAUUUACCCAAAUCAAAAUCGAAUCAAUAACCCAAUAAUUUUAAAAAAAAAUUAUUAACCCAAUAACGAUAAAUCCAUAACAUUUUUAUUGGUUCGAUUUUUGUACACCCCUAACUUAAAUUGCAAUUUUUUACUCCAUUAAUUAUAAUAAGAAACGUAUUUGUGCAUGUAAGUCUCCUCAAAAUCCUAAUUGAAACACUAAUCGGAAACUACUAUGAAACACUAACCUGAAAAAAUAAUUUCGUAUUUUAAACACACAAAAAAAUAUAAUUUUUUCAAAUAAUAACUUACUUGAUCAUCGAGUAAAAGAUGCGGGAGGAAAGGUUGAGAUGGUUUGGGCAUGUGAUGAGGAGGGGCACGGAUGCCCCAGUUCGUAGGUGUGAGAGGCUAGCGUUGGAUGGCUUUCGGAGGAGGAGAGGUAGGCCGAAGAAAUACUGGAGGGAAGUGAUUAGACAUGAUAUGAAGCAGCUACAGCUUACUGAGGACAGGACUCUAGAUAGGAAAGUGUGGAGGUCGCAGAUAAGGGUAAAAGGCUAGGUCACGUGCGUGGGUUGUAGCUAGUAGUAGAAGAGCUUAUGUAUAGCUGGGCUAGUAGGACUGUGUCCAUAGGUGGGGAUCGUACUUUCCGGAUGCCAUAUUUCUUAUCUCUUAUUUCAUAUUGCGCUUAUUUAUCUUAUUUUGUAUUGCUCUGAUUUCUAUUUUAUUUUUAGUAUGUCUUAUUCCUUUUAUGUUAUACCACCCACCAUGCUUAAUGGUGCAUUACGCUCUUGCUUACUAUUCUCUAUCUUGAGCCGGGGGUCUAUCGGAAACAGCCUCUUUACUUCUUUGGAGGUAGCGGUAUGGACUGUGUACAUUCUACCCUCCCCAAACCCCACUUUGUGGGAAUACACUGGGUUUAUUGUUGUUGUUGUUGUUGAUCGUCGAAAAUUCAACCUUUCACUAUUUCGGAGUAGAGGUAGAGGAAAACUGAAAAAUAUAAUUUUUUAGAGAAAAUUCGGAUAAUUAAGGGUAGAAGUGGUUUAUUUUUUAAUAUAGGAUCAAUA